rnacentral:miRNA from 1 species
ACUAAAGGAUAUAGAAGGUUUU